CCGCUGCUUUGAAAUUGAAUUUUCCGUUGCAAUUCGCUAUUUGGAUUUGAAGGCGGUUUUCAUCUAUUUAUUAUCUAAUUAUAGUGCUUUAUUGUGUGUGAAUGUUUUUGUAAACAAUAUAUUAUAAAAGCAAUCAUUUAGUGUUUACCAGUUUAAACGUGUAAUUGUUUUCUUCGUAUAGUUUGGUUUAUUUGAUAAUAUAAUGGUUUAUAAGUGCUCUGUUCCACGGUGCAGUACUCGAGGCCGAGACAAAAAUCCUACUCAUUGGCAACCAAAGGGCAAAGUGGGAGUAUAUUGAGAGACUUUAUAAAGUGGAUGGUUUUGGUGGCAGAGCAAGAAGCACCAAACUUACUGAGAAGCACAUAAAUCCAACUUCAUAUGACAAAAUGAAGGUCAAAUUUGCAGCCCAAGUUUUUAGCCGGCAAGUGGCUACAUCACUAGAAAUCCAGAUGAAGUCUCUGCUAUCUCUCAAGGAUCAUGAUUACAUAAGUUUAAAUAAAGACAUUGGAAAUGGUUUGUUCACAGCAGAAAUUCUUCUUUUUAUAAAUAAUUUCUUUGAUAGUUUAAAUGGUCUUGGUCAUUAUGGGAAUAAGUUAAAACAUGCUCUUUCAUAUAAUUCGGAGCACAUUGGAAUGAUGCUGUGAAAAAGCUAGCUUCAAUGCGCUUUGACGCUUCCAAUGAAAGGGAAAGGAAGCCUUUAUCACUGAAGCAUUUUGAACAUAAUAUAAAAACAAUAAAACAUUUGUGGUCAGAUCUGCUGAGAAUUGAUGGUGUUAAAUUUUUAAGUCUUAGACGUCUUAAUCAAGAUCCGAUAGAAAACUUUUUGGUCAUAUAAGGGCACAUGGUAAUUUUAGUACAAAUCCUAAUUGUACUCACUUUGUAUCGGCUUUUAAAACCUUGUUGAUUAACAACAUUACUACCGGUAAAUCUUUAUACACUAAUUGUUCUGAUGAUGAUGACAAAAUGUUGGGAACAUUAAACAUUUAGUCAGCCACCAAAAAUAUGGUUCAUACACUGAUAGUCUUCAAUGUAAUGAAACUAACUUUAUAGAAAUUUCUAUACCUAACGAGAAUAUAUUCCAACAUAU
rnacentral:lncRNA from 1 species